rnacentral:sRNA from 1 species
UUAUGGUUCCAAGCCGGUUUCGGCAACGGC